ACUGCAGGAGUAAGAACACUGUCGCUCGAGUGUCCCACACGACACAAAUGGUGUCAUGGCAAAACACUUGUGAUUUAAGAGUAUCCCAUGAACCGAUCAAGAGAUCAGAAGAAAUCCUUCCCAUAAAUCCCAUAAAGGAACCCAUUAAAAAGCCUAUAAAGACCAAUUCAAAUUAAUUUUAAUCCAUGAAACCCAUCAAGGAAUCCAUAGAAAGCCUCCGAAGACCUGUUCAAAGCAAUUUUACUUCGCAAAGCCCCUUCUCAAACCCACAGGAGAAAGUAGAGAGGGGAUCAUCUAUUUUGUAGGGUGAAGAUUAAACCCUAAAUCUCGAGGAGAUGCUCUGCCAUGGAAAACAUAGCCUGAAAUUGGCCAAUGAUCCUCUUAUAUCUUGAUCACACCAACCACUGAAGCUGAAAGGAGGAGAUAACACUCGAUUCACCAUCACAGCAAAAGAAAAGAGAGAGAGAGAGAGAGAGAGAGAGAGAGAGAGAGAGAAAGCAAAAGAGUCCAAAGGGAAAACAUAGGGUAUAAAGAAAAGGAAAAGAUGAGAAGUGUUGAAUGCCUUUUU
rnacentral:lncRNA from 1 species